rnacentral:tRNA from 1 species
GGGUAUAUAGCUCAAGUGGUAGAGGGCAUGCUUAACAUGCACAAGGUCCUGGGUUCAAUCCUCAGUACCCCCU